UACGUAGGGUGCGAGCGUUAAUCGGAAUUACUGGGCGUAAAGGGUGCGCAGGCGGCGUUCGCAAGUCAGGCGUGAAAUCCCCGGGCUUAACCUGGGAACUGCACUUGAAACUACGAUGCUGGAGUAUGGCAGAGGGAGGGUGGAAUUCCCGGUGUAGUGGUGAAAUGCUUAGAUAUCGUCAAGAACACCGAUAGCGAAGGCAGCCUUACUGGGCUGUAACUGACGCUGAGGCACGAAAAGUGUGGGGAGUCAAACAGG
rnacentral:rRNA from 1 species